CCUACGGGAGGCAGCAGUGAGGAAUAUUGGUCAAUGGGCUUAAGCCUGACCCAGCAAAGUCGCGUGAGGGAAGACUGCCCUAUGGGUUUUAAACCUCUUUUGUCAGGGAGCAAUUGGCGCUCCGUGUAGCGUUAUCGAGAGUACCUGAAGAAAACGCAUCGGCUAACUCCGUGCCAGCAGCCGCAGUAAUACGGAGGAUGCGAGCGUUCUCCGGAUUUAUUGGGUUUAAAGGGUGCGUAGGCGGAAUGCCAAGUCAGCGGUAAAAUCGCGGGCCUCAACCUCGCUCCGCCGUUGAAACUGGCGUGCUUGAGUGGGCGAGAAGUAUGCGGAAUGCGGGGUGUAGCGGUGAAAUGCAUAGAUAUCACGAAGAACUCCGAUUGCGAAGGCAGCAUACCGGCGCCCAACUGACGCUGAAGCACGAAAGCGUGGGUAGCGAACAGGAGUAGAUACCCGUGUAGUC
rnacentral:rRNA from 1 species